rnacentral:rRNA from 1 species
UGGGGAAUAUUGCACAAUGGGCGCAAGCCUGAUGCAGCCAUGCCGCGUGUGUGAAGAAGGCCUUCGGGUUGUAAAGCACUUUCAGCGGGGAGGAAGGGAGCAGGCUUAAUACGUCUGUUCAUUGACGUUACCCGCAGAAGAAGCACCGGCUAACUCCGUGCCAGCAGCCGCGGUAAUACGGAGGGUGCAAGCGUUAAUCGGAAUGACUGGGCGUAAAGCGCACGCAGGCGGUCUGUUAAGUUGGAUGUGAAAUCCCCGGGCUUAACCUGGGAACUGCAUUCAAAACUGACAGGCUAGAGUCUCGUAGAGGGGGGUAGAAUUCCAGGUGUAGCGGUGAAAUGCGUAGAGAUCUGGAGGAAUACCGGUGGCGAAGGCGGCCCCCUGGACGAAGACUGACGCU